rnacentral:lncRNA from 1 species
AUACCCAAAAGGGUAACCUUAGUUAAUGAUGGGCUAACUAAGGUUACAUACAUGUAACCAUGGUUACAUGCUUAUGACUUUUGAGUUUCAUAACUCAUACGUUAUAAGAGGGGGUUAUGGUUCCCAUAAGAAUGCAAGACAUUCUGUUCUUCUUCCCAUUGAAACUAGAGCAUUUUGGUCUUGCAUAUCAAGUGGAAAACCAAUUCUCAAUUUUUGGUCUUGGAUAUAUUCUUGUGAAAGCAAAAACUUCAAGACAAUCUUAAAGGAAGGAUCAAGGAGCUUCUCAAAGGCNN